rnacentral:rRNA from 1 species
GACGAACGCUGGCGGCGUGCUUAACACAUGCAAGUCGAACGAAGUGGCGAACGGGUGAGUAAUGCGUAAUCAACCUGCCCUUAAGAGGGGCACAACAGUUGGAAACGACUGUUAAUACCGCAUACUGAUGGUGGGGUUUGCGUCUGAUUAGCUAGUUAGAGGGGUAACGGCCCACCAAGGCGAUGAUCAGUUGCCGGUCUGAGAGGAUGAACUGCCACAUUGGGACUGAGACACGGCCCAGACUCCUACGGGAGGCAGCAGUGGGGAAUCUUCCGCAAUGGACGAAAGUCUGACGGAGCAACGCCGCGUGAGUGAUGACGGCCUUCGGGUUGUAAAGCUCUGUUAAUCGGGACGCGGUACCGGAAUAGAAAGCCACGGCUAACUACGUGCCAGCAGCCGCGGUAAUAC